rnacentral:sRNA from 1 species
AUUGCCAUAAUGCGCAAAAUACGUCAUUAAUGCAAUGUUACGUGUCCAAAACAAGGCCAAUGGCAAUUCAGGAGAAAAACCAGCUGACUCGCAGAACCAGUACACUAGAGUGUAUGAUAUGUUGCUUUGAGCAGUUCACUAAAUUUGAAAAUGCAAAUGAAGAGCCCCUUACAAUUGUACAUUAAAUGCUUUCUAUGAAAUAUGUGAAUAUGAGUUCUACAGCCGGGCAAACUAACAGAAAAUCCAUCAAAAGCUUAGUUAUGAAUAGAGUCUGGGCAGUGAAUUGGAGAUUGAACCAUUUAAACGC